rnacentral:rRNA from 1 species
UACGUAGGCAGCAAGCGUUGUUCGGAAUUACUGGGCGUAAAGGGUGUGUAGGCGGUUGUUUAAGUUUGGGGUGAAAUCUCCCGGCUCAACUGGGAGGGUGCGCCGAAUACUGAAUGACUUGGAGUGCGGGAGAGGAAAGUGGAAUUCCUGGUGUAGCGGUGAAAUGCGUAGAUAUCAGGAGGAACACCGGUGGUGUAGACGGCUUUCUGGACCGUAACUGACGCUGAGACACGAAAGCGUGGGUAGCAAACAGG